ACACACACACACACACACACACACACAGGACGGAAGCGGGGUUCUAACCCCUAACCACGGAGGUGCGUGACAACAGCGCUACCCACUAAGGCAUUGUAACUCUUUCUGACAGAGAAACGCUCUGAUGUAGAACUUCAAAACUUCAACAACUUUCUUCUCAACACUCUGUGUGUGUGUGUGUGUGUGUGUGUGUGUGUGUGUAAUCGAGCGGUUGCAUGUGGGCCUGUCUAACGUCUCCUCAAUUCUGUUGCUUGAGAUAAAGAAAGGCUGUGACACAGCAACACACACACACACACACACACCUUACGUUGCUGUUCUUCAGAAAAAAACAUUCAUCCUGCUCGUUGACCUUUGACCCCUGUGUGAGAAGGAGAAGCCCAAAAUGGCGACAGUAAACGAGGGCGUGUCGGUGUUGGUGGUGUUGAGCAGUGUGUGUACUCUGUGCAUUCUCGUCGUCUCCACACUCUGGACAUGUUGGAAGCUCAAAAGAGCCAUGAGAAAGGAAACACAGAAGACGUACACGCUGUACACAGAGCAGACGACGGACGAGCAGAAGGAGAAUCAAAGUGAAGAGGAGGAAGAAAAAGAAAAAGAAGAAGAAGAAGAAGAAGAAGACAACAGUUGAAGAAACAGACAGCUUAACUGUGUUAUUAUUAUUAUUAUUAUUAUUGUUAUUAUUAUUAUUAUUAUUAUUAUUAUUAAAGCACAAUAAUGUCUCAAAUCAAA